GGCGACGUGGCGAAGUGGCUAACGCGGCGGUCUGCAAAACCGUUAUUCAUGGGUUCGACUCCCAUCGUCGCCU
rnacentral:tRNA from 1 species